rnacentral:rRNA from 1 species
GACGAACGCUGGCGGCGUGCCUAAUACAUGCAAGUCGAACGCAGUGGGGACGGGUGAGUAACACGUGGGUAACCUCCCAUCAGAGGGGAUAACCCUUGGAAACAGGUGCUAAACCGAUACUGAUGGAUGGACCCGCGGUGCAUUAGCUAGUUGGUGAGGUAACGGCUUACCAAGGCGACGAUGCAUAGACGGCCUGAGAGGGUGAUCAGCCACACUGGGACUGAGACACGGCCCAGAAUCCUACGGGAGGAAGCAGUGGGGAAUAUUCGGCAAUGGGCGAAAGUCUGAUCGAGCAACGCCGCGUGAGUGAAGAAGGUUUUCGGGUCGUAAAGCUCUGUUGUUAGGGAAGCGGUAUCUAAACAAAAAGCAACGGCUAACUACGUGCCAGCAGCCGCGGUAAUAC